CUCAGUGUCCGGAAGUGUUUCAACAGUCCCAGCUCCAUCACCAGCGCUGUCAGGUGCCCGAGCUUUGCCGGUUCCAUCGUUCAUUCUUGUUGCUGCAGCAGCAGUGGCUCCCUUGUUUUACUACAUUUAACUCCAUCUCUUGCAUCCAUGGAUCUCUUUUGUAAUCCAUUUGAAACGGGUCUAUCUGCUGUUGGUGUUUAGAGUUGUAUCUCGGAGGGUUCCUCCUCGUUAUAUCGAGCCCCCAGUUUGAUAGUUUCUUUACAUACAUAUCAAUCAACUAUCGUUUAUUUUUAGAUUGUUUUAAUGCCAGAAGAGUUAUCGUUCGGAC
rnacentral:lncRNA from 1 species